rnacentral:rRNA from 1 species
UACGGAGGGUGCGAGCGUUAAUCGGAAUUACUGGGCGUAAAGGGUGCGCAGGCGGCGUCGCAAGUCAGGCGUGAAAUCCCCGGGCUUAACCUGGGAACUGCACUUGAAACUACGAUGCUGGAGUAUGGCAGAGGGAGGUGGAAUUCCACGUGUAGCGGUGAAAUGCGUAGAGAUGUGGAGGAACACCGAUGGCGAAGGCAGCCUCCUGGGCCAAUACUGACGCUCAUGCACGAAAGCGUGGGGAGCAAACAGG